rnacentral:rRNA from 1 species
UACGAAGGGGGCUAGCGUUGUUCGGAUUUACUGGGCGUAAAGCGCACGUAGGCGGGUCGUUAAGCCAGGGGUGAAAUCCCGGAGCUCAACUCCGGAACUGCCUUUGAUACUGGCGACCUUGAGGCUGGAAGAGGUUAGUGGAAUUCCCAGUGUAGAGGUGAGAUUCGUAGAUAUUGGGAAGAACACCAGUGGCGAAGGCGGCUAACUGGUCCAGAUCUGACGCUGAGGUGCGAAAGCGUGGGGAGCAAACAGG